GAGGGUAUAUCUCAGUGGUAGAGUGUGUGCUUUGCAUGCACAAGGUCCUGGGUUCAACCCCCAGUACCUCCA
rnacentral:tRNA from 1 species